UACAGAGGGGGCAAGCGUUGUUCGGAAUUACUGGGCGUAAAGCGUGCGUAGACGGUUACAUAAGUCGGGUGUGAAAGCCCCGGGCUCAACCUGGGAAUUGCAUUCGAGACUGCGUAGCUAGGGUGCGGAAGAGGGAAGCGGAAUUUCCGGUGUAGCGGUGAAAUGCGCAGAUAUCAGGAAGAACACCUAUGGCGAAGGCAGCUCUCUGGGACGGUACUGACGCUGAGACGCGAAAGCGUGGGGAGCGAACAGG
rnacentral:rRNA from 1 species